GAUGAACGCUAGCGGCAGGCCUAACACAUGCAAGUCGAGGGGUAUAUCAUUUCGGUGGUGACGACCGGCGCACGGGUGCGUAACGCGUAUGCAACCUACCCUUUACUGAGGGAUAGCCCGAAGAAAUUCGGAUUAAUGCCCCAUAGUAUUAUUUGAUGGCAUCAUUAGAUAAUUAAAGUCCCAACGGUACAAGAUGAGCAUGCGUCCCAUUAGUUAGUUGGUAAGGUAACGGCUUACCAAGACUAUGAUGGGUAGGGGUCCUGAGAGGGAGAUCCCCCACACUGGUACUGAGACACGGACCAGACUCCUACGGGAGGCAGCAGUGAGGAAUAUUGGACAAUGGGCGCAAGCCUGAUCCAGCCAUGCCGCGUGCAGGAAGACUGCCCUAUGGGUUGUAAACUGCUUUUAUACAGGAAGAAACACCUCUACGUGUAGAGGCUUGACGGUACUGUAAGAAUAAGGAUCGGCUAACUCCGUGCCAGCAGCCGCGGUAAUACGGAGGAUCCAAGCGUUAUCCGGAAUCAUUGGGUUUAAAGGGUCCGUAGGUGGAUAAUUAAGUCAGAGGUGAAAUCCUGCAGCUCAACUGUAGAAUUGCCUUUGAUACUGGUUAUCUUGAGUUAUUAUGAAGUAGUUAGAAUAUGUAGUGUAGCGGUGAAAUGCAUAGAUAUUACAUAGAAUACCAAUUGCGAAGGCAGAUUACUAAUAAUAUACUGACACUGAUGGACGAAAGCGUGGGGAGCGAACAGGAUUAGAUACCCUGGUAGUCCACGCCGUAAACGAUGGAUACUAGCUGUUCGGAUUUAUCUGAGUGGCUAAGCGAAAGUGAUAAGUAUCCCACCUGGGGAGUACGUUCGCAAGAAUGAAACUCAAAGGAAUUGACGGGGGCCCGCACAAGCGGUGGAGCAUGUGGUUUAAUUCGAUGAUACGCGGGGAACCUUACCAGGGCUUAAAUGUAGAUUGACAGGUUUAGAGAUAGACUUUUCUUCGGACAAUUUACAAGGUGCUGCAUGGUUGUCGUCAGCACGUGCUGUGAGGUGUCGCGUUAAGUCCCAUAACGAGCGCAACCCCUAUCGUUAGUUGCCAGCGAGUCAAGUCGGGGACUCUAACGAGACUGCCGGUGUAAACCGCGAGGAAGGUGGGGAUGACGUCAAAUCAGCACGGCCCUUACGUCCAGGGCUACACACGUGUUACAAUGGCCGAUACAAAGGGCAGCUACCAGGUGACUGGAUGCUAAUCUCUAAAGUCGGUCUUAGUUCGGAUCGAAGUCUGCAACUCGACUUCGUGAAGCUGGAUUCGCUAGUAAUCGUAGAUCAGCAACGCUACGGUGAAUACGUUCCCGGGCCUUGUACACACCGCCCGUCAAGCCAUGGAAGCUGGGGGUACCUGAAGUCUGUCACCGCAAGGAGCGGCCUAGGGUAAAACUGGUAACUGGUGUU
rnacentral:rRNA from 1 species